rnacentral:rRNA from 1 species
CCCUUAGAUGUCCUGGGCCGCACGCGCGCUACACUGAACGGAUCAGCGCGUUUUCCCUUCCCGAGAGGGACGGGUAACCUGCUGAACCCCGUUCGUGGUAGGGAUCGGGGCUUGCAAUUAUUCCCCGUGAACCAGGAAUGCCCAGUAAGUGCAAGUCAUAAGCUUGCGUUGAUUACGUCCCUGCCCUUUGUACACACCGCCCGUCGCUACUACCGAUUGAACGCUUUAGUGAGGUACUCGGACUGAGCCUCAGAAGAUUCACGUCUUUUGUGCUGCUCGGGAAGAUUCCCAAACUUGAGCGUUUAGAGGAAGUAAAAGUCGUAACA